rnacentral:misc_RNA from 1 species
UCACAGUCAUAAAUGUAUGUUGCCAUGGUGAUAGUUAUGCUUAAUGUCGUCGUUGUGACAUCGAUGAAUGUACCUUUUCAUUUUUUGGUCCAAAUUAUGUAUUUUUUUUUACAUGAAAAAUCAAUUUUUAUGACCUUUUUGUCUAAUUUACUUUGAGCUUGAGGAUGAAGGUAUUAAAUGAACUUUUUAUGUUAGAUUCAGAAAGCACAUGUAUAAUUAUUUAUAACUGCAGAUGAUUUUAUAGCCUAUGUAACAUAAAAUUAAAAAAUGUACUGCAAAAAUAUUUGAUUUUUAGAUUUAAAGUAUCUCUAUUUAACUGAACAACAUGGCGUUGAUGUAUAUACAUGUAUGGAAUUCAAUAAAAAUAAAAUUCAGUUC